GAGGAGAGAGAGACUGGAGGAGGAGAGAGACAGAGACUUGGGGAGGAGAGAGAGACUGGAGAGGAGAGAGACUGAGACUAGGGAAGGGGAGAGAGAGAGACUGAGACUGGAGGAGGAGAGAGACUGAGACCUGGGGAGGAGAGAGAGACUGGAGAGGAGAGAGAAACUGGAGAGGAGAGAGCCUGAGACUAGGGAAGGAGAGAGAGAGACUGAGACUGGGGGAGGAGAGAGAGACUGAGACUGGGGGAGGAGAGAGAGAGAGAGACUGGAGGAGAGAGAGAGACACUGGGGGAG